rnacentral:rRNA from 1 species
AUUGAACGCUGGCGGCAGGCCUAACACAUGCAAGUCGAGCGGAGCGGCGGACGGGUGAGUGAUGCCUAGGAAUCUAACUGGUAGUGGGGGAUAACGUCCGGAAACGGGCGCUAAUACCGCAUAAUAUAAGAUGAGGCUAGGUCGGAUUAGCUAGUUGGUGGGGUACAGGACUACAAAGGCGACGAUCCGUAACUGGUCUGAGAGGAUGAUCAGUCACACGGGAACUGAGACCCGGGCCAGACUCCGACGGGAGGCAGCAGUGGGGAAGAGUGGACAAUGGGCGAAAGCCGGAUCCAGCCAUGCCGCGGGUGUGAAGAAGGUCCUCGGAUUGUAAAGCACUUUAAGUUGGGAGGCGUUACCAACAGAAUAAGCACCGGCUAACUUCGUGCCAGCAGCCGCGGUAAUUC